CGCGAAGAACCUUAACCAGGUCUUGACAUCUUCUGACAAUCCCAGAGAUAGGAUGUCCCCUUCGGGGGCAGAGUGACAGGCCGGGGAUGGUUGGGGUUAGCUCGCGUCGUGUGAUGUUGGGUUGGGUCCAUCCCGCCACGAGGGCCACCCAUUUCCUUAAUAUCCAAACGGUUAAGCUGCGAACUUUAAGGAUACUGCCAGUGACAAACUGGAGGAAGGCGGGGACGACGUCAAGUCAUCAUGGCCCUUACGACCAGGGCUACACACGUGCUACAAUGGUCGGUACAAAGGGUUGCUACCUAGCGAUAGGAUGCUAAUCUCAAAAAGCCGAUCGUAGUCCGGAUUGGAGUCUGCAACUCGACUCCAUGAAGUCGGAAUCGCUAGUAAUCGCGGAUCAGAAUGCCGCGGUGAAUACGUUCCCGGGCCUUGUACACACCGCCCGUCACACCAUGGGAGUUUGUUGCACCAGAAGUAGGUAGUCUAACCGCAAGGAGGACGCUACCACGGAGCCGAAGGUGA
rnacentral:rRNA from 1 species